CCUACGGGGGGCUGCAGUAAGGAAUAUUGGGCAAUGGGCGCAAGCCUGACCCAGCCAUGCCGCGUGAAGGAAGAAGGCGUUAUGCGUUGUAAACUUCUUUUGUAUGGGAAGAAUGACGGGGAUUUAUCCCUGGAGAGACGGUACCAUAAGAAUAAGCACCGGCUAACUCCGUGCCAGCAGCCGCGGUAAUACGGAGGGUGCAAGCGUUAUCCGGAAUCACUGGGUUUAAAGGGUACGUAGGCUGUUAGUUAAGUCAUCAGUGAAAGGCCGUCGCUUAACGAUGGGAAUGCUGAUGAAACUGGCUAGCUAGAAUUGAGUUAAGGUAGUCGGAAUGGAUCAUGUAGCGGUGAAAUGCAUAGAUAUGAUUUAGAACACCGAAAGCGAAGGCAGGCUACUGAGCUUUUAUUGACGCUGAGGUACGAAAGUGUGGGUAGCGAACAGGAUUAGAUACCCGAGUAGUC
rnacentral:rRNA from 1 species